rnacentral:rRNA from 1 species
UACGGAGGGGGCUAGCGUUGUUCGGAAUUACUGGGCGUAAAGCGCACGUAGGCGGCUUUGCAAGUUAGAGGUGAAAGCCCGGGGCUCAACUCCGGAAUUGCCUUUAAAACUGCAUCGCUAGAAUUGUGGAGAGGUAAGUGGAAUUCCGAGUGUAGAGGUGAAAUUCGUAGAUAUUCGGAAGAACACCAGUGGCGAAGGCGACUUACUGGACACAUACUGACGCUGAGGUGCGAAAGCGUGGGGAGCAAACAGG